rnacentral:rRNA from 1 species
GACGAAGCCGUGCGAACGUUGUUCGGAUUCACUGGGCUUAAAGGGCGCGUAGGCGGGUUCUCAAGUCCGGGGUGAAAUCCUCUCGCUUAACGAGAGAACUGCCCCGGAUACUGGGGACUCGAGGGAGGUAGGGGCAUGUGGAACUUCCGGUGGAGCGGUGAAAUGCGUAGAUAUCGGGAGGAACACCUGUGGCGAAAGCGGCGCACCUGGACUACAACUGACGCUGAGGCGCGGAAAGCUAGGGGAGCAAACAGG